GUGCUCACUAUGACGGCACAUAUACUUAAAUUGGAAUGGUACAGAGAAGAUUAACUUGGUGCUUCCCAAGGAUGACAUGCAAAUUCAUGAAAUGUAUCAUAGUUUU